rnacentral:tRNA from 1 species
CGGGCUGCUCGCCGAGACCGGUGAGGCGGGGCGGCUCACCGCCGCCGACUGCGCCGCCCUGCGGACCCUCUCCGCGCUGCCCGCC